AUUUGAUGAUGUGGGCAGUUCAUGCAUAACAUCUUAAAGUGCUCUUAAUAUUCAUAUAAAGUCUUACCAUUAUUUUGUCGAAUGCUAUAUAUCUCUGUUUUGAUGUU